CGAGCAUUGCAUGUGGAAAUACUUUCUUGCUAACGAGACUCAGUGUUGUGAAGGAAGCAGGUGGUUCCACAUGUCCAUCUCCCCACCAAUACUUUCCAGUUCCAUCUGUCAGAUCCCAAGGCGAUCCCAGGUCAGAUGAGAUCUGCAAUCAGGCAACUGAGUUCUGGGUCUACGACGGAGUUUCCUUCCAGCUAGAUGUACCGAACUACCCAGGCUGUUUACUUUGGACGUGAAGGAGCAGCAACUCUACUCUGAGCUCCCUUCUGAUGUCCAAGUUCCACACCCAACCUCUACGACUGAGUCAGACUAUAGUCUAAUGACGAGACCACUGUAGGACACAGUCAGCCAGAACAGAAAGCAGCUGAUCUGAAGAUGUGGUGCCAAGACAAAGGAAAUCAGCUUCAGCUUCAGCAGCUUCAGGACAGACGCAACACACGCACUCGACACAUGGCGGAGCUGUCUGACCAACAAAGGAAACGAGGAGAGGCUGGUGAGGAAUAACCUGCAUGUGGCAGCGCAAAACACCAGAGACAUGUUUGAGCUGAAGGGGGCAGUCACAUGGUGCAGAGGAUUUGACCUAAUGUGAUACACGUUUUAAUUGAAAACGUAGGAAAAAAUGAUCAGAGGUUUGCAAGAAACUGACAAAUUACUCUAAGUAACCAUUUAUUAGAGUCCAAACUGAUCAUCAAAUUCAGCCUUUUUCAGGGACAAAGUCAGAUUGCUUUGCAAUGUUCACAACACACACUUUAUCCUCCUCCCAGGUAUAACAAGGUGAUGUCUUUUAACCCAAACAUGGCCCCAUAAACUGACCUGUCAAAGGCUGCUUGGCC
ensembl:lncRNA